AGAAUCCUGAUGUGUUCGUUUUCAGCAAUUCAGUUUUGACCCAACAUUUUGUCGUCGGGAGACUAGAUUUCAUCAUGGCUAACAUGCCCUCACCGGAAGUUAAAAGUGAUGGAGAGGUCACCCACCUGCUAGAAGCGGGUUCAAAGCGAUAGCAUUAAAAAAGACGGCACGAUCGGGAUUCUU
rnacentral:other from 1 species